CCCGGUAACUGGGUUGAGGAGGUCGGAUAGGCAGUCGCUCCUUGUAAAAUAAUGGUAAAAAAAAAAGUGAAAACUAGGCCCCCAGUAGUCUUGCCAUUGGCAACUAGUGGUUUCUCUUAUACCAUGGAAAGGUUUUGUUUUUUCGCACCCACAGCAAGCAGUUAGGAGAGAUUUGGUAGUAAAUAUUUGUACCAUAAAAUUGUCUUGAACUAGAAACAAUAAAAAUCUGUCACUAAGGUUUCAGGGGUUAUUUUAACAUAACUUUUAAAUGAUUAUUAUUAAUUUUAAAUAAGUUGAUAUAUGAAUAAAAUUUGGUCCUUUCUGACAAGCAAACCAUUGAAAUCUUAGAUCAUAAUAAACCAAUAUUAAAAAAUGUUAUAGCAGUUCCUUAAUUUUGAAUGUACAAAUCACUACCAGUAUUUAUAAAAAAUAAUUAAUUAAGAGAAAAUAAUACCUUCAGUAUAUUGUUUGAAUAUUGUUAAAUGUUCGUUUAGCGUCAUAUCAUGUGGAUAGUUUCUGUUAUAGCUCAUAUUAUUACAAAAUAGUGAGAACAGCACAAAAUAAUGUUAAUUUUUAUUAAUGUUUGAGUAUUUUUAUUUUGUUUUUCAGUGAAGUCUAGUGUGUUUGGUUUGUUCUUUUUAAUUGGAUUAUGCAUGUGAAUAAAUGUUCUUGAUUCAAUAAACAACUGGUUUGUCUAACAAACCCCUGGAACGAGGCUGUAGUAUUCAUUCACUUCAUUGUGUUUGAUUUUGAUACAUAUUUCAUGCCUGAAAAGUAAUUUCCAUAAUACAUAACGACUUAAUUUUAUGACUGCUACAGGCGCGUUAGACCUAAUUUUAUUUGCCACUGUGGACCUGGCAUGUCAGUUCGGGCCAUUUUAGGCCGUGUUUAAACUAAACCAAUGUGCAGCCUCUUAUCGAAAGCUAGCGUUAUGCAUUUUAGGAUAACAACUACCCGAAAAACGUUUAUUACGCUAUGCAUUGACGCUGAAAAACACAUUUUAUAACUCGCAGUGAACCUGAUCAUAUUCUGCGGUUGACUCAACGUUUGGUUCAAACACAGCCUUAGGUGAUGUGGAUUUUUUUAAAACCAUGAUGCAAAAUAUGUUGCCGAUAAUGCCAAUGAAGACAAAAAACUAUUGGUCCCAUUACGACAUGUCAUUUGAAUGUGAAAAAUGUAAAAGGAAGUACAGACAUAAGAGUACAUAUAGAAGACACGUCACGUAUGAAUGUGGAAAAGAACCAAUGUUUCGCUGCCCAUUUCUAGAUUGUACCUAUAAAGCGUACCAAAAGACGCACACGGAUGCUCACAUCAAGACGAAACAUAAACUAACGGCGCUCGAAUAUAAACGAUGAUCCAAGGAUGUGCGGGAGUAUAAAAUAUUGUGAUAUUAAAGGUUAAUUAAUUUUAAAUA